GUGAAUUUAGUUUUAAUUAAAAACAUUUAUUCUGCACAUAUAAAAUAAAGGUUUAAAUCCUUUAAUUUACA
rnacentral:tRNA from 1 species